CCUACGGGAGGCAGCAGUGAGGAAUAUUGGUCAAUGGACGAGAGUCUGAACCAGCCAAGUAGCGUGAAGGAUUACUGCCCUAUGGGUUGUAAACUUCUUUUAUAAAGGACUAAAACGAGGCACGUGUGCCUUUUUUCAUGUACUUUAUGAAUAAGGAUCGGCUAACUCCGUGCCAGAAGCCGCGGUAAUACGGAGGAUCCGAGCGUUAUCCGGAUUUAUUGGGUUUAAAGGGAGCGUAGAUGGGUUGUUAAGUCAGUUGGGAAAGGUUGCGGCUCAACCGUAAAAUUGCAAUUGAUACUGGCAGUCUUGAGUACAGUUGAGGUAGGCGGAAUUCGUGGUGUAGCGGUGAAAUGCUUAGAUAUCACGAAGAACCCCGAUUGCGAAGGCAGCUUACUAAACUGUGACUGACAUUGAUGCUCGAAAGUGUGGGUAUCAAACAGGAUUAGAUACCCUUGUAGUC
rnacentral:rRNA from 1 species